rnacentral:rRNA from 1 species
GUCUAUGGCCAUACCACCCUGAAUGUGCCCAAUCUCAUCUGAUCUCAGAAGCUAAGCAGAUCGCGCCUGGUUAGUACUUGGAUGGGAAACUAUUUUUGGUAUAGCAAAUGUAGCCU